GACGAACGCUGGCGGCGUGCUUAACACAUGCAAGUCGAGCGGUAAGGCCCUUUCGGGGGGUACACGAGCGGCGAACGGGUGAGUAACACGUGGGUGACCUGCCCUUAGCUCUGGGAUAAGCCUGGGAAACUGGGUCUAAUACCGGAUAUGACUCCAUAACGCAUGUUGUGGGGUGGAAAGCCUUGUGCGGCUAGGGAUGGGCCCGCGGCCUAUCAGCUUGUUGGUGGGGUGAUGGCCACCAAGGCGACGACGGGUAGCCGGCCUGAGAGGGCGACCGGCCACACUGGGACUGAGACACGGCCCAGACUCCUACGGGAGGCAGCAGUGGGGAAUCUUGCGCAAUGGGCGAAAGCCUGACGCAGCGACGCCGCGU
rnacentral:rRNA from 1 species